UCUGACAUUUUGGACUCUGACAUUUUUCAGAGUACAGUCGAGUCUGUGACAUGUGUAACAUGAUAAAAAAAUGAAUAAGAACAUAAAAUUAAGAUAACAAGAAAUUAAUGAAUGUCUCCCUGCCUGAUCAGGGGGCUUUCUGUGUGCACACACUUGAAACAUGCGCACAGAAAGCCACUUCACCGUGCAAGGACCGAAUGGACUCAAUGGAUGAUCGCUUCCGCGUUUUGUCUCAACCAGCUCAGUUACAUCUGGUGUCAUGCCGGAAGCCGUUUUCGCUAUUGGCGAUAGCUGUGUGAAGAUGGCGCAGGAGAAAAUGACAUAUUACACUCGCUGUUUCUUCAGAUUAACUUGAAUGACGUCAAUCAUAUUGUGAGGCCAUCAGCUGUUACACCCAACAGUAAGGAGGAGAAGGGCUUCAAAUGAUAUAUUUUGAGCUACAACUUUGAGGCUAAAAUUUACUUCAUACAAUAAAUUAUCUACACUUGCAUCCACCUCCUCCAGUCCAUGACAAGCCUAUAUAACUGUGGAGGAGACACAUCAAAUAAGUAAAACCGGAGGACACAAUAUAGUGUUAUACAAUAAUAAAACAGGUUGAUUUGUAUUUUCAUACACUUGUAAUAUAAUAAAAAUGCUACAUAUAUCUCUAUAUCCCCUUUUUUUUAUUGAAACCCUUUUUUGAGAGGAAACUAGUUGAGGUGCUGAUGACAUGAAAUAAAAAUAUUAAAUGGC
ensembl:lncRNA